rnacentral:lncRNA from 1 species
UAUUAUAUAUAUAUAUAUGUCUUUUUAAAUUUCAUUUAGACAGUCCUGUCGAUUCCUCUCCCUCUUCUUUCUUUUACCCUUCCCCUCUAUGUUUCCCCAUCUACUACCACGUCUCUCUUUCUCAACCAUUUUUUUUCUCUCUCUCUCUCUCUCUCUCUCUCUCCUUUUUCAUCCAACUGUUCCCCCUCCCUCUCUCUCUCUCUCUCUCUCUUUAACCAUACUAUCUGUUUCUGCCUCUCCCUAUCUCCCUCUCCCCCCACCCCUCUCUCUCUCUCUCUCUCUCUCACUCUCUUUCCAGGACUUUCUCAAUCUACCUUCAUUAUAUUCAUAUAGACAGUUUAAUGAAUUUCAUUGUCCGUCUCUCAUCUACCAGUUGACGGUUCCUCAAUACCCUACCCUACCCGUUCUUACUCAUCCCAUGUAAGACGAUUAGGCAUGUUUGGUGGUAAGUUCUUAAAACCCCUCUCCUACAAAAAGAGGUCCGUACAAAUGCCUAAAUCCCUCUCAUUCCAUUCAUCCAAACCCGGAGAAACAAGAGUGAAUUUGACCAACAAAAACUGUUCACUUUGCAAAGACACGAUGCCCCCUUCAAAACCCUGAAAACGAAGACUCGAAAACAUUCUUUUCAAAAUGAAGACAAUACCCGCAGAUAAUGAAUGCGACACAGUUUUGCGGUGAAGCGUUAAUUUUGUUAAAUCGGCCUUUCGAAAUUCUGGUAUAGCGUGAACGGCGGAUUAGCGGAUUACACACGGGAGAGUUGUGGGGAGAACAAUGAGCGUGUACUCGUUAACAAAGAAAUACCUGCGAGGCGGAGAAGGGGGAGCAACUUCCCGUCCUUUUACUUUUCUAUAGCAUAUCCUGUGUAGGCUGAUUAGGGGGACGUGGGUUUCACUAAAGCCCUGAAACUCAAAUUCACACCAGGUUUAAUUACUCCAUUUUGAAUCGGGUGAAAUCGCUUAUUUCGUGGAUUAUAAACCAAGAAAGUAGUUCCAACGAGGAUAAGCGUUUAAUUCAAGUAUAAUCUUGUAUUAUUACAAGGUAAUCAUGUUUACUACGAUGGAGAAAAGGGCAGUGGUGUGCAGAAAUUAGAAACAAUGCUUGCAUGCCGAACACAGCAUAAAAGACUAUCCAGGUAAAGUUUGAGAAUUCUUUUGGGGUUGUUUUACCAACGGAAAUGCGCGCUUAAACAAAUCGAACUUUAACUCCCCUAAUCCUGAAAAAGGGACAUGUAAUCCAUGAGAGCAUAUCGAUCUCUUGCCCAGUUAUAUCGAUCCCCGAGUCUCAAAGUCAUUAUCAUACAAUCGAUAUCGGAAAGCUGAUUACGAUGGCCGAACAAUGCACGAAUUUUGGCAACAUUUCUUUUAACCCCGUUCCAGUUUACAAAAUGGUUUUCGGUAAGCAUGGAAUUAGCAUUGAAGGGCUUCUAGAGUGUUUUGAAAGUGUUUUUGAGGGAUUAAUUUGUUCAGGCUAUUGGUGGGAAGGUAAUAGGGGAAAUUUUAUGUGUGGCAACAUAUGUUAACAGUAAGUAGAUUGAGGGAAUUACAACUUUAAGUCGUGGUUUUCAAAGUUUAGAAGGUGCUAUGUCCUACCUGAAACUCAUUUGUGUACACAAUAAGUCCAUGAAGUGCCUUUAAACCUGGUGUAAACUGAUUAGGAACUGCUGUCCAUUUCAAAGCGGAAUAAGAAAGCAACCACCAAAUGGAUAAGUACGGUAAAAGUAAGCCUUCAAUAAAUUGUAACCUCAUCUGACAUCUUA